rnacentral:rRNA from 1 species
GAUGAACGCUGGCGGCGUGCUUAACACAUGCAAGUCGAACGAAGCACCUUGAUUCGAUUCUUCGGAUGAAGAUCUUGGUGACUGAGUGGCGGACGGGUGAGUAACGCGUGGGUAACCUGCCUCAUACAGGGGGAUAACAGUUAGAAAUGACUGCUAAUACCGCAUAAGACCACAGCACCGCAUGGUGCAGGGGUAAAAACUCCGGUGGUAUGAGAUGGACCCGCGUCUGAUUAGGUAGUUGGUGGGGUAACGGCCUACCAAGCCGACGAUCAGUAGCUGACCUGAGAGGGUGACCGGCCACAUUGGGACUGAGACACGGCCCAAACUCCUACGGGAGGCAGCAGUGGGGAAUAUUGCACAAUGGGGGAAACCCUGAUGCAGCGACGCCGCGUGAGCGAUGAAGUAUUUCGGUAUGUAAAGCUCUAUCAGCAGGGAAGAAAAUGACGGUACCUGACUAAGAAGCACCGGCUAAAUACGUG